AUUGAACGCCGGCGGCAGGCCUAACACAUGCAAGUCGAACGGUAACAGGAAGCAGCUUGCUGCUUUGCUGACGAGUGGCGGACGGGUGAGUAAUGUCUGGGAAACUGCCCGAUGGAGGGGGAUAACUACUGGAAACGGUAGCUAAUACCGCAUAAUGUCGCAAGACCAAAGAGGGGGACCUUCGGGCCUCUUGCCAUCGGAUGUGCCCAGAUGGGAUUAGCUUGUUGGUGAGGUAACGGCUCACCAAGGCGACGAUCCCUAGCUGGUCUGAGAGGAUGACCAGCCACACUGGAACUGAGACACGGUCCAGACUCCUACGGGAGGCAGCAGUGGGGAAUAUUGCACAAUGGGCGCAAGCCUGAUGCAGCCAUGCCGCGUGUAUGAAGAAGGCCUUCGGGUUGUAAAGUACUUUCAGCGGGGAGGAAGGGGUUAAGGUUAAUAACCUUAGCCAUUGACGUUACCCGCAGAAGAAGCACCGGCUAACUCCGUGCCAGCAGCCGCCGUAA
rnacentral:rRNA from 1 species